rnacentral:rRNA from 1 species
CAGCAGCCGCGGGAAUACAGAGGGUGCAAGCGUUAAUCGGAAUUACUGGGCGUAAAGCGCGCGUAGGUGGUUUGUUAAGUUGGAUGUGAAAUCCCCGGGCUCAACCUGGGAACUGCAUCCAAAACUGGCAAGCUAGAGUAUGGUAGAGGGUGGUGGAAUUUCCUGUGUAGCGGUGAAAUGCGUAGAUAUAGGAAGGAACACCAGUGGCGAAGGCGACCACCUGGACUGAUACUGACACUGAGGUGCGAAAGCGUGGGGAGCAAACAGGAUUAGAGACCCCCGUAGUCCAUGUCUCUUAUAC